rnacentral:rRNA from 1 species
CGAAAGGGGAGCUUCCUAAUACAUGCAAGUCGAGCGGACAGAUGGGAGCUUGCUCCCUGAUGUUAGCGGCGGACGGGUGAGUAACACGUGGGUAACCUGCCUGUAAGACUGGGAUAACUCCGGGAAACCGGGGCUAAUACCGGAUGGUUGUCUGAACCGCAUGGUUCAGACAUAAAAGGUGGCUUCGGCUACCACUUACAGAUGGACCCGCGGCGCAUUAGCUAGUUGGUGAGGUAACGGCUCACCAAGGCGACGAUGCGUAGCCGACCUGAGAGGGUGAUCGGCCACACUGGGACUGAGACACGGCCCAGACUCCUACGGGAGGCAGCAGUAGGGAAUCUUCCGCAAUGGACGAAAGUCUGACGGAGCAACGCCGCGUGAGUGAUGAAGGUUUUCGGAUCGUAAAGCUCUGUUGUUAGGGAAGAACAAGUGCCGUUCAAAUAGGGCGGCACCUUGACGGUACCUAACCAGAAAGCCACGGCUAACUACGUGCCAGCAGCCGCGGUAAUACGUAGGUGGCAAGCGUUGUCCGGAAUUAUUGGGCGUAAAGGGCUCGCAGGCGGUUUCUUAAGUCUGAUGUGAAAGCCCCCGGCUCAACCGGGGAGGGUCAUUGGAAACUGGGGAACUUGAGUGCAGAAGAGGAGAGUGGAAUUCCACGUGUAGCGGUGAAAUGCGUAGAGAUGUGGAGGAACACCAGUGGCGAAGGCGACUCUCUGGUCUGUAACUGACGCUGAGGAGCGAAAGCGUGGGGAGCGAACAGGAUUAGAUACCCUGGUAGUCCACGCCGUAAACGAUGAGUG